AAUAACCCUGUAGGCGAAAAGGAAAGAAAAGUAGAUCUACUCCAGAGUACCACGAGACACGUGAAACCUUGUGGGAAGCUGGGAGGACCAUCUCCCAAGGCUAAAUACUACCUAGUGACCGAUAGUGAAGCAGUACCGUGAGGGAAAGGUGAAAAGAACCCCGGAAGGGGAGUGAAAUAGAAUCUGAAACCGUGUGCCUACAAUCGGUCGGAGCACAUUAAAGUGUGACGGCGUACUUUUUGUAGAACGGGCCAGCGAGUUACGAUAUAUAGCAAGGUUAAGCACUUAUGGUGUGGAGCCGAAGGGAAACCGAGUCUGAAUAGGGCAACUAGUUGUAUAUUGUAGACCCGAAACCGGGUGACCUAUCCAUGGCCAGGAUGAAGCGGAAGUAAAAUUCCGUGGAGGUCCGAACCACGUUGGUGUUGAAAAACCAUGGGAUGAGCUGUGGAUAGCGGAGAAAUUCCAAUCGAACUCGGAGAUAGCUGGUUCUCCUCGAAAUAGCUUUAGGGCUAGCGUCGGGUAAUUGAGUAGUGGAGGUAGAGCACUGAAUGGGCUAGGGGCUGACAACAGUUACUGAACCCUAUCAAACUCCGAAUGCCAUAUACUUGUACCCCGGCAGUCAGACUACGAAUGAUAAGAUCCGUGGUCAAAAGGGAAACAGCCCAGACCAUCAGCUAAGGUCCCAAAGUGUAAGUUAAGUGGGAAAGGAUGUGGGAUUUCUAAGACAACUAGGAUGUUGGCUUAGAAGCAGCCACUCAUUUAAAGAGUGCGUAAUAGCUCACUAGUCGAGAGAUCCUGCGCCGAAGAUGUAACGGGGCUCAAACUUACCACCGAAGCUAUGGAUGUGUACUUUGUACACGUGGUAGAGGAGCUUUCUGUACAGGUUGAAGUCAUACCGUAAGGAGUGGUGGACAGUACAGAAGUGAGAAUGCUGGCAUAAGUAGCGAAAAACAAGUGAGAAUCUUGUUGACCGAAUAUCUAAGGUUUCCUGGGGAAGGCUCGUCCUCCCAGGGUUAGUCGGGACCUAAGCCGAGGCCGAAAGGCGUAGGUGAUGGACAACUGGUUGAUAUUCCAGUACCACCAUAAUGCGUUUGACAAAUGGGAUGACGCAGGAGGAUAGGAUGUGCGCACUAUUGGAUGUGCGUCUAAGCACUUAGGGUGUUAAGUAGGCAAAUCCGCUUAACAUUAAGCCUGAGGUGUGAUGGGGAGCCUAUUUUGGCGAAGUAUCUGAUUCCACGCUGCCAAGAAAAGUCUCUAUGGAGCAAA
rnacentral:rRNA from 1 species